GAUCGAAGAGGCAAAUCCCGGGAGACCGGGAGACGCAAAGCCGCGGGUCCCAGGCCGGUACGCUCCAGCAGCCGCCGGCAAGGACGGCCGGGUUGCCGAAA
rnacentral:ncRNA from 1 species